GGGGCAUUAGCUCAGUUGGUAGAGCGCCUGCAUGGCAUGCAGGAGGUCAGCGGUUCGACUCCGCUAUGCUCCACCA
rnacentral:tRNA from 1 species